rnacentral:pre_miRNA from 1 species
AGUGGGAUAGCUGGGUCAAAUGGUGUUCAUUCCAAGUUUUCUGAGGAAUCUCCAUAUUGCUUUUCAUAAUUUUUGCACCAAUCUGCAUUCCCACCAGCAAU